UCCGUGGCGACAUGGAAUCUGAAAGAAGCCGGAAGCAAACACUGGGUCUGACAUACAGAAACAUGAUAAGCACCCGAGGAAGUCUACACU
rfam:Prevotella multisaccharivorax DSM 17128 genomic scaffold scaffold_3, whole genome shotgun sequence.